rnacentral:rRNA from 1 species
GAUGAACGCUGGCGGCGUGCCUAAUACAUGCAAGUCGAGCGAACGGACGAGAAGCUUGCUUCUCUGAUGUUAGCGGCGGACGGGUGGGUAACACGUGGAUAACCUACCUAUAAGACUGGGAUAACUUCGGGAAACCGGAGCUAAUACCGGAUAAUAUUUUGAACCGCAUGGUUCAAAAGUGAAAGACGGUCUUGCUGUCACUUAUAGAUGGAUCCGCGCUGCAUUAGCUAGUUGGUAAGGUAACGGCUUACCAAGGCAACGAUGCAUAGCCGACCUGAGAGGGUGAUCGGCCACACUGGAACUGAGACACGGUCCAGACUCCUACGGGAGGCAGCAGUAGGGAAUCUUCCGCAAUGGGCGAAAGCCUGACGGAGCAACGCCGCGUGAGUGAUGAAGGUCUUCGGAUCGUAAAACCCUGUUAUUAGGGAAGAACAUAUGUGUAAGUAACUGUGCACAUCUUGACGGUACCUAAUCAGAAAGCCACGGCUAACUACGUG